rnacentral:misc_RNA from 1 species
AUCUAUACAAUUAGAAUGCUGGG